UGUCAGAAAAGUCAAAGAGAUUUGAAUAGCUCUUCCUGAUAUUUUAAGGAAGGCAAAGGGAUAAAAAAAGAAGGCUGUAUGGAAGAGAGGAAAUGGGAAACCAAUCUGAACUCCAAUUGAAAGGCCUCAUUUAGAAACAAAAACCUGGACUCCUGUAUUCAUCAGCACUGGGAAAACAAUUUACUUAUCACAGAGUGUGCAUCAAAAUUCCUGCAUCUCCUUCUCAGUGAAGAUCUCCAGAAUGCUGUAGGCAGUUCACAGUAGUUGGGCCUCCUGCACUCUUUGCAUAUGGCUUUAAUGUGGAUGCAGAGGAACUGCACCUAAAAACUACUGCUAUAUCAGAAGGUGCUGAAACUCUGAUUGCAUUAGUCUGACAACAGAAUAUGGAAAACCAAACAUGCCCCCUGCUCCCCAUUCCACAGUAUUCUGGUUAUCACUGCCUCUGCUUUUUAAAGCUUUGGAAGAGUUCAAGUGAUAAAAGCAAUGCCGUAAGUGGAGUUCAGACCCUUGCAUAGUAUUCAGUCCUGCAAGAAAUAGGCGUAUGAUAAGGUACUUUUAAGCAGAUCAAGCUUUGGUGGCACUAUUCAGAUGCUCCUUUCACUAUAAGAAUGGUGUUAAACAGUAUUUGCCAAGAAAACCUGAUGUGAUUUUCUUCAUCAUAGUUAAAUACUGUUGUUUUGCAAGCAUGCAAGGAAAAGUUGGUGGAAAACUGCCUCUGCCGUGAAUUAUCAUAACAUAACAUGCUCAACUGAAUAUACUGAAAUGCUUGCAAAUAAACUGGGUUUAUUUGUAGCUUAUGUAGUUUGUUUUCAUGCUGAGGAACAAGAUUUCAUAGCACGAUAUAAAACUGAAAACACAUGGUCAAACAAGCAUAUGUAAAGGUUAGUUACUCCUGUUGCCCAUCUCAGAUAUAAGAAAUGGGGGUAUAUGAUCCAGUGAAGAAUUCCAUGUUGUCAGUCAGCAAGUAAGUUGUCUUUCUGCUGUUAGAGUAAGCCAGCAGGAGCUGAAGCAGGUUCUCUGUGCUGAGCAUAGCAGGUUUCCUGACUAACAGCUCUGGGAGCAUCCAUGUAGAAUACUUGUGGUUACAGGCUAAGAGGGCAGCAAAGAACAAAGAGGCAAGUGACAGCAGGAGCAGAGCCUUUUCAUAGGAGCCAUUCUGGAUUUUAUGUUUUUUCCCAAGAGACUUAGUGGGUAGAGGUGCAACAUUUUGUUUCUUGCAAGCAAGAUGCUCAUUCUGGCUUCCCUUCCUUCUCCCUAAAUACUGUAGGUUUUACAACAGACCACAGAUCAAAGAGAA